UACAGAGGGGGCAAGCGUUGUUCGGAAUUACUGGGCGUAAAGGGCGCGUAGGCGGCCUGUUAAGUCAGGGGUGAAAUCCUGGAGCUCAACUCCAGAACUGCCUUUGAUACUGGCGAGCUCGAGUCCGGGAGAGGUGAGUGGAACUGCGAGUGUAGAGGUGAAAUUCGUAGAUAUUCGCAAGAACACCAGUGGCGAGGGCGGCUCACUGGCCCGGUACUGACGCUGAGGUGCGAAAGCGUGGGGAGCAAACAGG
rnacentral:rRNA from 1 species